rnacentral:rRNA from 1 species
CCCAGACUCCUACGGGAGGCAGCAGUGAGGAAUAUUGGUCAAUGGACGCAAGUCUGAACCAGCCAAGUAGCGUGCAGGAUGACGGCCCUCCGGGUUGUAAACUGCUUUUAGUUGGGAAUAAAAGGGGGCUCGUGAGCCCCGUAUUGUAUGUACCAUCAGAAAAAGGACCGGCUAAUUCCGUGCCAGCAGCCGCGGUAAUACGUAGGGAGCAAGCGUUAUCCGGAUUUAUUGGGUGUAAAGGGUGCGUAGACGGAGAAGCAAGUUAGUUGUGAAAUCCCUCGGCUUAACUGAGGAACUGCAACUAAAACUACUUCCCUUGAGUACUGGAGAGGAAAGUGGAAUUCCUAGUGUAGCGGUGAAAUGCGUAGAUAUUAGGAGGAACACCAGUGGCGAAGGCGACUUUCUGGACAGUAACUGACGUUGAGGCACGAAAGCGUGGGGAGCAAACAGGAUUAGAUACCCUAGUAUU